rnacentral:rRNA from 1 species
CCAGCAGCCCCGGGUAAUACGUAGGUGGCAAGCGUUAUCCGGAAUUAUUGGGCGUAAGCGCGCGUAGGCGGUUUUUUAAGUCUGAUGUGAAAGCCCACGGCCCUUUUAUGGAGGGUCAUUGGAAACUGGAAAACUUGAGUGCAGCAUAGGAAAGUGGAAUUCCAUGUGUAGCGGUGAAAUGCGCAGAGAUAUGGAGGAACACCAGUGGCGAAGGCGACUUUCUGGUCUGUAACUGACGCUGAUGUGCGAAAGCGUGGGGAUCAAACAGGAUUAGAUACCCUGGUA